rnacentral:rRNA from 1 species
GACAGAGGGUGCAAACGUUGUUCGGAAUUAUUGGGCGUAAAGCGCGCGCAGGCGGCCUUUUAAGUCUGAUGUGAAAGCCCACGGCUCAACCGUGGAAGGUCAUUGGAAACUGAAAGGCUUGAGUACAGAAGAGGAAAGCGGAAUUCCACGUGUAGCGGUGAAAUGCGUAGAGAUGUGGAGGAACACCAGUGGCGAAGGCGGCUUUCUGGUCUGUAACUGACGCUGAGGUGCGAAAGCGUGGGGAGCAAACAGG